rnacentral:lncRNA from 1 species
AAAUCUCUCACAAGUAUCUUUUCUCUAGUUUUCUAACUUUGUUAAUUAUUAUGUUCUUACUAUAUUAUUUUACAACAAUUAUAUUGGUCUUAAAAAUUGGUAUAUUAAUCUGUUUUCUCAAGCAUAGCGUCAAGCCAGUUGGGGUGUCGACUCGACUAGGCUCGUAUGUAUUCAGUUCGACUCAAUUGAAGUUUGGUCAAAGCUGGG